GCGAAUGGCUCAUUAAAUCAGUUAUCGUUUAUUUGAUAGUACCUUACUACUUGGAUAACCGUGGUAAUUCUAGAGCUAAUACAUGCUGAAAACCCCAACUUCGGGAGGGGUGUAUUUAUUAGAUAAAAAACCAACGCCCUUCGGGGCUUCUUGGUGAUUCAUGAUAACUUUACGGAUCGCAUGGCCUUGCGCCGGCGACGGUUCAUUCAAAUUUCUGCCCUAUCAACUUUCGAUGGUAAGGUAUUGGCUUACCAUGGUUUCAACGGGUAACGGGGAAUUAGGGUUCGAUUCCGGAGAGGGAGCCUGAGAAACGGCUACCACAUCCAAGGAAGGCAGCAGGCGCGCAAAUUACCCAAUCCCGACACGGGGAGGUAGUGACAAUAAAUACUGAUACAGGGCUCUUUUGGGUCUUGUAAUUGGAAUGAGUACAAUUUAAACCUCUUAACGAGGAACAAUUGGAGGGCAAGUCUGGUGCCAGCAGCCGCGGUAAUUCCAGCUCCAAUAGCGUAUAUUAAAGUUGUUGCAGUUAAAAAGCUCGUAGUUGAACCUUGGGUCUGGCUGGCAGGUCCGCCUCACCGCGUGUACUUGUCCGGCCGGGCCUUCCUUCUGGAGAACCUCAUGCCCUUUACUGGGCGUGUUGGGGACCAGGACUUUUACUUUGAAAAAAUUAGAGUGUUCAAAGCAGGCCUUUGCUCGAAUACGUUAGCAUGGAAUAAUAGAAUAGGACGUGCGGUCCUAUUUUGUUGGUUUCUAGGACCGCCGUAAUGAUUAAUAGGGACAGUCGGGGGCAUCAGUAUUCAAUUGUCAGAGGUGAAAUUCUUGGAUUUAUUGAAGACUAACUACUGCGAAAGCAUUUGCCAAGGAUGUUUUCAUUAAUCAGUGAACGAAAGUUAGGGGAUCGAAGACGAUCAGAUACCGUCGUAGUCUUAACCGUAAACUAUGCCGACUAGGGAUCGGGCGAUGUUCUUUUUCUGACUCGCUC
rnacentral:rRNA from 2 species